rnacentral:rRNA from 1 species
AUUGAACGCUGGCGGCAGGCCUAACACAUGCAAGUCGAGCGGCAGCGGGAAAGUAGCUUGCUACUUUUGCCGGCGAGCGGCGGACGGGUGAGUAACGCCUGGGAAAUUGCCCAGUCGAGGGGGAUAACAGUUGGAAACGACUGCUAAUACCGCAUACGCCCUACGGGGGAAAGCAGGGGACCUUCGGGCCUUGCGCGAUUGGAUAUGCCCAGGUGGGAUUAGCUAGUUGGUGAGGUAAUGGCUCACCAAGGCGACGAUCCCUAGCUGGUCUGAGAGGAUGAUCAGCCACACUGGAACUGAGACACGGUCCAGACUCCUACGGGAGGCAGCAGUGGGGAAUAUUGCACAAUGGGGGAGACCCUGAUGCAGCCAUGCCGCGUGUGUGAAGAAGGCCUUCGGGUUGUAAAGCACUUUCAGCGAGGAGGAAAGGUUGAUACCUAAUACGUAUCAACUGUGACGUUACUCGCAGAAGAAGCACCGGCUAACUCCGUGCCAGCCGCCGCUGUAAAAC